AAACUUCAAAAACUCCCCAGUAGUUUCGUAGUUUCUUACUUUGUCCCUCUAUGAUUUAAAAUGUAUCAAUUUGCUCCCCUAUGAUUUCUUUUUUUUUCUUUUUCUUAUCAAUUUCAUUAUUUUUUUUUCUUAAAUCAGUGAUAAAGUUAAAAUUAAAUGGUACUAAAAUAAAUAUUUGAUAAAUUUAGAUGGAUAUUUGAAGUUUUUUGUAUAUAAUUUAAUGAAAUAUUAACGAAAAAACUAUCAAAAAGAUAAAAACGAAAUCACAGAGGAGCAAAUUGAUACACUUUAAAUUACAGAAUACUAAAGUGAGAAACUACAAAAUCACAGGGGUUUUUUUUUGAAGUUUU
rnacentral:lncRNA from 1 species